rnacentral:lncRNA from 1 species
AAAUUUCCAAGAACCUGUCUUUUUGAUAAAACUGAACAUUACAUAUACUAAUUGACAAAAUAAUCUGGCUGUUUUGAAUUACUAAUGUAACUGGAUUGUUAUCGAGAUGUUUACUGUUGAAUAUUUGUGUUAUCUCUAACUGAUCAACCUUAUUUAUUCGUAUACUAGCUGUAGUGUAACGUAUUGAAACCUAGAUAGAAAAUGACGAACUUUAGGCAAACUGACUAAAGUGCGCGAAUGGAUUAAUUGGGCGAGUUCCAAUUAACCUACCAACACUGUUGGGAGGGUUAAAAAUGAGUUCUAGAAGUAUUAGAAGGGUUUUGGCAUCGAUCGGCGCAAAAUAGAGUUGAAACGGAAGCAAAAUCAGGUCUGGAGCAAUGUGUACCGGUACAGCAAGCGACCUGUCACCGGUUACACAUGCUGAAACCGGUGACACGAAAAAGUGUACCGGUACACUUUGGGCGAAACCGACAGAUUUGCUCUCGGGUUUGCCUCUGCGUAGUCGUGUAACCGGUGACAUGAAAAAGUGUACCGGUACACUUUGGGCGAAACUGACAGAUCUGCUCUCGGGUUUGCCUAUGCGUAGUCGUGUAACCGGUGACACGAAAAAGUGUACCGGUACACUUGGCCUACAGCAAAAACAGGUCCGGCAAAAUAUAAAGAUUGGACAGGUUUUUUCUGCCAAUCGUAUUAAAUAUAAAACAACAUAUAAUAGCCAAUACCUUCCCUCACAGCUCAACACCCUUUACCCUCUCUCUCAUUUCUCUCUCUUCUCUCCUCUAGUAAGCAGCCCUAGAGCUUGGAGAAGGUGGAAAGCUUGGAGAAUGGAUUUUGGUGGCUUUGGUGGUCCUAGAGACUCUCCCAACAAGUAGGCUUGGUGAGGCUUGGGCAAAGAUAGCCGCACACGCAGACUAGGGCUUCAAAAUCCAAAAUCACUUACGCAUCCUCGUGACCAUCUAAGGUGUGUGCAUCCAAGACAUCGAAAAUCUUUAUGUCUAAACGUCAUAUUGAGCAAUGUAUUUAUAUUGAGCAUGUUGCAUAAUAGGUUAAUUGUAAAUUUCUUUGCAUGAUAUGAGUUCUAAUGCUUGAGAAAUAGUAUAAAUGAAUGAGAUUGUAACCCUAAUAUCAUGACAAAGGACAAGAACCUAGAAGUAGUAAACAAAUGUUAAACAUGUUGACACUAAUUUACAGUGACAUUGAUCGAUCCUAUAGACUUAGAAACAAGUUUGGCAUCCCAUAGACAAAGAAAAGAACACAAUGAAUUAUGACAUAAAACACCUUAGAAUUAAAGCCAUAUGUACAUGUCCCUUGAUGUAAGAAUGGAUGAACUAAAAUCCUAAGUAAGGAUGAAUCGAAUCACCUAAAUAGGCGCGUGCGAGGCGUACAUCCCCCUUCGGGCGAUGUGCUCCGAGUUCAUGCACUGGUCGUUACGAUAUCUUCCCAGAGGGCGCCCGUCGGGUUUAGGCGGUUAUCUCCCAUCAUAGGGAUUUGGUGGUGAUUUGUGAGGGCGGAAACCUAACGCUUAGCCAUGAAGAUGGUAAUGAAAAGUUAAUCUUUACAUUCAUCAUAGCAUCUCUAUCGAGCAUAGUUUAUUUAUUGCUCAGGCUAUAGCUGCAUUUGUUAGUUGGUUAUUAUCUAUUCUUUCUUCUAUUAUGCCUGAUUAGACCUAGUGGGAUAGUCGGCGUGGUUGGUUGCCGAACCCACUGGGAACUUUGUUGUAGUUCUCACCCCACUAUUUCCACAGAGUCGGGACCGAGCGAGCCGGCAGAUGAUCGCGGUAAGGGCAUCGCGCCCUAGGAAGAGACCGCCCGAGAUGGAUUUCAUUUUGUAGUUGCACACCCUUUACUAUCAUCUUUUGUAUUUGAUGAUUUUAGUAUUAUGAACUUGUUUUAAUGAAUGAUGUAAAGAAUAUUUAUUUUAAAUGUCAAAAGUUAUAUUUUGGGAGAAAUGAGAUGUAAAAAAAAAAGAGAAAUGAUGCAUGUAUGUGAUUUAAAUUAGUCAUAUUACUUGUAUAUUGAAUUGCUAAUUCUUUCACCUUGGCUAUUGCUUGCCCUCGUGCAAGCCAUUGUGUAUGCUUCCGCUUAUGCAAAUUUGUACUCUAUUGAUACUAGUGUUGAGCCUUGGGCGGACAGGGGAAGCUCUGUCUGUUCGGCGUCUGUUUGACGCUCUCGAACCGGCCAAAAAGGAUCGGGCUCGGGGCGUGACAUGUAGUUUCUCCUGGUCUUUGUGGGUUGUCUCCUCCAACAGUUGCUGCAAUGUUUCUUAGGGAGGACUUUUUGUACUCGAUCGGGAAAGCUUGGUAAUUUAACAAUUGUGUACACCUUAUACUUUUUGGAUGUUUGUUCUUUGGGUUAUUAAUGAGGUACUAAUCAUAUUUAGCAUCAUCAGUACAGCGUAUUGCAACCUUAUAAAUAAACCUAUAGAGUGAUGCAAAUAUGUGAAUAAGGUCACCAAGCAAUCCUUCGUCUUUGACUAUCUAUUUGUAAAUAUAAGAGUUUACAUGCUUAUCAAUUUGGUGUUCUAACAUUAAAAAACAUAAAUAGGAGUGUAAUUACCUGGGGAUUGUUAAGGAUUUUAUAGGUUGGCGAGUUUCGUAAAGUUGGUUGGAGUCUUGAAGAGUUGAUCGCAGAAGUUUUGAAGAAAAGAUUCAAAUUGAAGAAAUAAGACUCAUUCGGAAAGCUCGACACCCAAGGUAUAAAGAAAAGAUUAUUUGUGGUGAAUAUAACUAAUUAGACUAAGUUCAGAAGGUUUAGAUU